rnacentral:tRNA from 1 species
AUAGAGAUAGCUCAGUGGCAGAGCAAACGUUUGAGGAGCGUUAAGCCCAGGUUCGAAUCCUGGUUUCUAUUCCA